rnacentral:misc_RNA from 1 species
GAUGAAGAACGCAGCGAAAUGCGAUAAGUAAUGCGAAUUGCAGAAUUCAGUGAAUCAUCGAAUCUUUGAACGCACAUUGCGCCCGCUAGUAUUCUGGCGGGCAUGCCUGUCUGAGCGUCAUUUCAACCCUCGCCCCCGGCUUUUGCUGGGAGCGGUGUUGGGGAUCGGCCGCCCGUCACUGGGAGGCCGGCCCCGAAAUAGAGUGGCGACCACGCCGUGUGCUCCUCUGCGUAGUAGUAAAUCACCUCGCAGGCGGUCAGCGGUGCGGCCUGCCGUAAAACCCCCAACUCUUUCUGGUUGACCUCAGAUCAGGUAGGAAUACCCGCUGAACUUAAGCAUAUCAAUAAGCGGAGGA